rnacentral:tRNA from 1 species
GGCAUAGUUUAGUGGUAGAAUGUAAGCUUCCCAAGCUUAGGAUGCGGGUUCGAUUCCCGUUGCC